GAUGAAGAACGUAGUGAAAUGCGAAAAGUAAUGUGAAUUGCAGAAUUCAGUGAAUCAUCGAAUCUUUGAACGCACCUUGCGCCCUUUGGCUAUUCUGAAGGGCAUGCCUGUUUGAGUAUCAUGAACACCUCAACUCUCAUGGUUCGCCAUGAUGAGCUUGGACUUUGGGGGUCUUGCUGGCCUACGGUCGGCUCCUCUCAAAUGAAUCAGCUUGCCAGUGUUUGGUAGAGUCGCAGGUGUGAUAACUAUCUACGCUUGUGGUUUUCUGCCAGAUAACCUUCAGUGAUGGAGGUUCGCUGGAGCUUAUAAAUGUCUCUCCCCAGUGAGGACAGCUUUUUGAACGUUUGAUCUCAAAUCAGGUAGGACUACCCGCUGAACUUAAGCAUAUCAAUAAGCGGAGGA
rnacentral:misc_RNA from 1 species